rnacentral:rRNA from 1 species
AGAGUUUGAUCCUGGCUCAGAUUGAACGCUGGCGGUAUGCUUAACACAUGCAAGUCGAACGGUAACAGCAAGAGCUUGCUCUUGGCUGACGAGUGGCGGACGGGUGCGUAACGCGUAGGAAUCUGCCUAUUAGUGGGGGACAACAUGGUGAAAACCAUGCUAAUACCGCAUACGCCCUACGGGGGAAAGCGGGGGAUCUUCGGACCUCGCGCUAAUAGAUGAGCCUGCGUUAGAUUAGCUAGUUGGUGAGGUAAUGGCUCACCAAGGCGACGAUCUAUAGCUGGUCUGAGAGGACGAUCAGCCACACUGGGACUGAGACACGGCCCAGACUCCUACGGGAGGCAGCAGUGGGGAAUAUUGGACAAUGGACGAAAGUCUGAUCCAGCAAUACCGCGUGUGUGAAGAAGGCCUGAGGGUUGUAAAGCACUUUCAAUUGGGAGGAAAACAGGCGAAGAUAAUAUCACGUCUCUUGACAUUACCUUUAGAAGAAGCACCGGCUAACUCCGUGCCAGCAGCCGCGGUGAUACGGAGGGUGUAAGCGUUAAUCGGAAUUACUGGGCGUAAAGCGUUCGUAGGCGGCUCGUUAAGUUAGAUGUGAAAGCCCCGGGCUUAACCUGGGAACUGCAUUUAAAACUGGCGAACUAGAGUUUAGGAGAGGGAAGUGGAAUUUCAAGUGUAGCAGUGAAAUGCGUAGAGAUCUGAAGGAACACCAGUGGCGAAGGCGACUUCCUGGACUAAAACUGACGCUGAGGAACGAAAGCGUGGGUAGCAAACGGGAUUAGAUACCCCGGUAGUCCACGCCGUAAACGAUGUCAACUAGCCGUUGGGCCUAUUUACAGGUUUAGUGGCGGAGCUAACGUAUUAAGUUGACCGCCUGGGGAGUACGGCCGCAAGGG